ACUGGGUGUGGUGGUGUGUGCCUGUUGUCCUAGCUACUUGGGAGGCUGAGACAGGAUGAUCUUCUGAGCCCAGGAGGUCUGGGCUGUAAAGCAGUAUGUCAAUUGGGUGUCCACACUAAGUUCAGCAUCAGUAUGAUGACCUCUUCGAAGCAAGGACCACCAUGUUGCCUAAGGAGGGGUGAACUGGCCCAGGUUGGAAACAGAGUAGGUCAAAACUCCCAUGCUGAUCAGUAGUGGGAUAGAGCCUGUGAAUAGCCGCUACACUCUGGCCUGGGCAAUGAAAAAAAUAUGUAUAUU
rnacentral:SRP_RNA from 1 species